UUCACAGCAUAGCUCGGAGAGCAUGAGACUCUAAAUCUCAGGGUUGUGGGUUUGAGCCCCACCUUGCGCGAAA